rnacentral:rRNA from 1 species
AACGCAGCGAAGGGCGAUAAGUAAUGUGAAUUGCAGAAUUCAGUGAAUCAUCGAAUCUUUGAACGCACCUUGCGCUCCUUGGUAUUCCGAGGAGCAUGCCUGUUUGAGUGUCAUUAAUAUAUCAACAUCUUCAGUCUUUUUGCAUGUUGAGUUGUUGGAUGUGGGGGUAUUUUUUGCUGGACUCUAGAAUCUGAGGUCAGCUCCCCUAAAAUGUAUCAGCGAAACAAUUUGUUUACCGCUCAUUGGUGUGAUAACUAUCUACGCUAUUGACGGUGAAAGCACGUUUAGCUCCUAACAGUCCAUUAGCUUGGACAACCUCUUAUUAAUGUGACCUCAAAUCAGGUAGGACUACCCGCUGAACUUAA